AAUCCCAAACUAUUAUAACCUUGCUGCAGUGCACACCCACUUACCCACUUUAAGGUGCUUGACUUCUGAUCCGACCUUCACCACCCGGCCUGCUGCCUCGUGCCCCAACACCAUCGGUUUCUUCAACACAAAGUCCCCAAUUCUGCCGUGCUGCCAGUAGUGAACAUCUGACCCACAGAUCCCCACAGAGUGCAUCUGCAGCAAAACUUCUGCAAGGCACAAAACACAGACGGUCCAGAACUGACUCAUAACAAGUAAUGUGUGACCCAAUCCUGCAUACCAUUAGGUCCUGGCUCCGGGAUGGGGCGGUUUUCCUGUGAGAAAUUGACAAAAUGCAAACAAAUAAACCUAAAGGUUGCAGUCAGUCUAAUUCACACAGAUUGUAACUAAUAAUCUCAUUCAAACAGUAAGACCGGUGUGUCUCCUACCAGCCGCAGGUCUCCCUGCGCGUGCAGCACCACGGACAGGUUCUCCUCCGCCAUGACUCAGACAGACUCGACACUCAACAGAGAGAAGUCAAGUAGAGAAGUAAACAGAGUCCGAAGAAAGAUUUCUCUCGUGUCAAAGUACAGAAAGCAGCGAGCUUCCGGUUACAGGGGCUGGCACCAAAACAAAGCGUGUGAUUGGCCACUGACCGGCGGAAGAGUCCACUUUGUAGGGGUGCCCGCCACCACACAAAUAAACUUAACUGCGCUCAUUAAAUAAGUAUUACUCCCGCUGCUGCUAGAUAUUACUUUGAAAUGUAUUUGCGUAGCGUUGAUAUUGAUUAUGAGUUACUAUUGAGCCGUUAUCGUCGAUAUGCCGUGAUUUUAAUUAGCACAAAACCCCCUUUAACUUCCGUACUUCACCCAGUCCGACACGAUUAUCCAAUUAAAA